GAUGAAGAACGCAGCGAAAUGCGAUAAGUAGUGUGAAUUGCAGAAUUCAGUGAAUCAUCGAAUCUUUGAACGCACAUUGCGCCCCUUGGUAUUCCAUGGGGCAUGCCUGUUCGAGCGUCAUUUGUACCUUCAAGCUCUGCUUGGUGUUGGGUGUUUGUCUCGCCUCUGCGUGUAGACUCGCCUCAAAACAAUUGGCAGCCGGCGUAUUGAUUUCGGAGCGCAGUACAUCUCGCGCUUUGCACUCAUAACGACGACGUCCAAAAGUACAUUUUUACACUCUUGACCUUGGAUCAGGUAGGGAUACCCGCUGAACUUAAGCAUAUCAAUAGCGGAGGA
rnacentral:misc_RNA from 1 species